GUUGACAUAAGGUGUGCCGUCGUAAACAAGAUUGCAAAUGUUGGCAUGUUUAGUUACUUAAAACCUCUUGAACGUUAUGGCAAAAUGUAGAUUUUCCGCUAAAUAGACGUAAUUAUUUUUCACAUGUUGACCAUAAACAACAACUAGUAAGGGAGCGGUCGAAAUUUACACAAUUGUUACCCAGAGGAAAAUGGGGGAAGGUUAUGCUUUUUCAAUUUCAGUGAGUAUUUAAAAAAAAAAUGAGUCCAGGGGUGGGUCAUUUAAUUUGUAAUCGAUUUAAAUGUCAUAUUGCUCAGUGUUUGAGAAUUAGUUGCUUAUUAUAUCUCUGUGUGCCGGAUGCUGCCGCUCAUCCCUGAUUCUCUGAUAGGCUCGCAAUAUGGGGUGCGCCGAGUGUGGUCUCAAUCAAAUGACCCAUAGCGUAUUCCCUCAAACUCAACUCUGGACCUAAUUUUUUUCAUUGCUUCCCUCUAAUCAGGGACUGAUUUUAGACCUGGGACACUAGGUGGGUGCAAUUAAUAAUCAUGGAAGAAGAGAAAACCAUCAGGCUCCGGACCUCAUAGGGUACGAGUUGAGUAGCCCUGGCCUAUACUCUAGGCCUAGCCUUAUAAGGGUAUGCUCGGAGAAGCACAUGGCAAAGUUAUAUUUCUAAGAAAAUGUCGUUUCUGAGUUUUUGCGCUGCUGGUAUGGAUAUAAAACUACACUGCAUUACACACGGCAAUGGAUAGGCUAGCCCAAUGAUGAGCCCCGGCCUGCCCUGCUCUUGCUGAUGUAAACCCUUUUGUGCUGCCUAACCAAUGGCUGUGCUGUGUACGGUGACACUUCAGCGGGGGAGUCAAAGGCUUCUUCUGAAAAUAUUUGUUUAUUUGCCCAAAGAAUUCAAUAUCUGUGUGCGCGGACUAGGCCUACUGAUGUCCUGAUCAGUUCGAGAGAGAGUGCAAAGAUGAGGAGGAGGACUGGAGGCUACUUACAGCAAGAACGGCUUUGUGUUGGAACCUAUUUCUUCCUAUCCAAGAAAGAACAGCUGCCUGAUAACCUCUUAAUGACGUUGAAGAGAAAAUGAACUCAGUACUUUGAGUGAGAUUCUUCAGCAGCAGGGAGCUCAGAUGAAAGAAGGCAGGGUUUUCUCUCUAUGGAUACCUUGUCUGUCUGCUCUGCUGCUCUGCUCAACACACAGUAGUCUAUUCCCCAGCAGAAGAGUGGGCCUUGACUAUUCCGAUGACCGUCUCCUCCACCACAGGAAUGCAGCCUCCCCUUUCACCCAAAAUUAGGCAGCUGCCCACAGGAAGGAAUUCAGUCCAGAGGCACAGUGGAGCCCUGUUUUGCAGAGAGCAUGUGGCAAGCGUUUGGUGGCUACUGAUGGUUGUGACACAGAUAGAACCAUGAGACAGAUAAUUCACUGGAUGUAUAAAUGUGAAGCAUCCUUUUGGAGUUUUCACUCACUACCAGAUAUGGUAGUGAGAGGAAGCCUACUGCCGGGCAGUUGGAGAAGAUAUGUGAGGGAUUUUUGACGACAUUCUGCACAUUUUCUCAUCAAUUAAACAUUUGAUCUCAAUACAGUUUUUUGUUCCCAAAACUAUAAUCUGUUAUGAACAGAGUGGACUAAGUUUUGUAGCCUUCAACCUUUGUAAAGGUUUUUGAAAUCGCGCUGUUUAGAAGGAGUGCAAAGGCGAAUUGAGAUAUUGCAUACGCACACUUCACAGAGUAAGCGUUUCCUAACGGAAAUAUGUAAACAUAUACUAGAACGCGCCAAUAGGAUAUCACUAGCACGUGCUUGGCUUUGCCCACUAUGACCAAUUUGUUCCUAUUGGAAACGACAAGCUGUGGUUUAUCUUGGUUUAGUUAUAAAAAUCUUUGGGCUGUUUGAAGAAAAUGGCCUCCUGGGCUGCACCUCUUCCUACACCCCCUGUUGGUUUGUCUUUUUGGUUUGUUUGUGUAUUCAUUUUCUAAUGUAUUCUUUUUCUAAUGUGUUCUUCAGUCACAGAAUGGCCAGUAAAUGACAUGAGCAAAAGUACAUUUUGAAACUGUUGGAAACCGUGCCUUAUAUGUAUUUAUUAAAUCUUUGAAAAUGG